AGCUCACUGUGGACAGAUGGUUAAUGAAUGCUUUUACUCUAGGAUUCUGUGGUAACUCUCAUUCAAAGUGAGAGCCACUUCCUAUUUUCGUACACAACUGGAAGCUGCCAUGGGACAGUGACAGUUAGGAGCAGCAGGACCUCCAGUGAUUGAAAGCAGUGAUCUGUCAAACCACAUAAAUCCGCGGACCUUCGACUGACCAGAUCCAAACAGCCAAACACUAGAGGAGCAGGAUCUUAAAGGCUGAGAAAAGAUAAUGCCAGCACAGUCUUCCUUUCUUCCUUCUACUCUGGAAUUUUAAGUCCUCUAUAGGCAGUUUUUAAAAUAAG
rnacentral:lncRNA from 1 species